rnacentral:rRNA from 1 species
GAUCCGGUGGUUCCGCAUGGAAGGGCCAUCGCUCAACGGAUAAAAGCUACCCUGGGGAUAACAGGCUUAUCUCCCCCAAGAGUCCACAUCGACGGGGAGGUUUGGCACCUCGAUGUCGGCUCAUCGCAUCCUGGGGCUGAAGUAGGUCCCAAGGGUUGGGCUGUUCGCCCAUUAAAGCGGUACGCGAGCUGGGUUCAGAACGUCGUGAGACAGUUCGGUCCCUAUCCGUCGCGGGCGUAGGAAAUUUGAGAGGAGCUGUCCUUAGUACGAGAGGACCGGGAUGGACACACCGCUGGUGUACCAGUUGUUCCGCCAGGAGCAUCGCUGGGUAGCUACGUGUGGACGGGAUAAGUGCUGAAAGCAUCUAAGCAUGAAGCCCCCCUCAAGAUGAGAUUUCCCAUGGAGUUAAUCCAGUAAGACCCCUUAGAGAUGAUGAGGUUGAUAGGUCUGGUGUGGAAGCGUGGCGACACGUGGAGCUGACAGAUACUAAUCGGUCGAGGACUUAUCCA